UGGGCCCGCCCAUAAGCCGCUCCCAACUCAGGUCGUCAAGAGUUUUUUGUAUCAGUUAUGCAAAGGAAUUGCACACUGCCAUGGCCAUGGUGUCCUUCAUCGGGAUUUAAAGCCCAAAAUCUAUUGGUUGACAAGGAGAAGAUGAUACUGAAAAUUGCAGAUCUUGGGUUAAGUAGAGCUUUUACUGUUCCUAUGAAAAGCAGAUCUUGGGUUAAUGUACAGUGACGGUGCUAUUGCACUUGUGCUAGUCAGUGGGGAGAAAGCUAGAACCUUGGUCUUCAAGUUCUUGCAAGGACCAGAGGGUAUGCUGAUGCUGCGCAGGUAAAUCUU